rnacentral:rRNA from 1 species
UACAGAGGUCUCGAGCGUUAGGCGGAAUCACUGGGCUUAAAGCGUGUGUAGGCGGAUCGUUAAGUACCUUGUGAAAUCCCACGGCUUAACCGUGGAACUGCUUGGUAUACUGGCGGUCUUGAGCCAGCUAGGGGCUACCGGAACAAAUGGUGGAGCGGUGAAAUGCGUAGAUAUCAUUUGGAACGCCAAUGGUGAAAACAGGUAGCUGGGGGCUGUGCUGACGCUGA